rnacentral:rRNA from 1 species
GACGAACGCUGGCGGCGUGCAUAACACAUGCAAGUCGAACGGAAAGGCCCUGCUUUUGUGGGGUGCUCGAGUGGCGAACGGGUGAGUAACACGUGAGUAACCUGCCCUUGACUUUGGGAUAACUUCAGGAAACUGGGGCUAAUACCGGAUAGGAGCUCCUGCUGCAUGGUGGGGGUUGGAAAGUUUCGGCGGUUGGGGAUGGACUCGCGGCUUAUCAGCUUGUUGGUGGGGUAGUGGCUUACCAAGGCUUUGACGGGUAGCCGGCCUGAGAGGGUGACCGGCGACAUUGGGACUGAGAUACGGACCAGACUCCUACGGGAGGCAGCAGUGGGGAAUAUUGCACAAUGGGCGGAAGCCUGAUGCAGCAACGCCGCGUGCGGGAUGACGGCCUUCGGGUUGUAAACCGCUUUCGCCUGUGACGAAGCGUGAGUGACGGUAAUGGGUAAAGAAGCACCGGCUAACUACGUG